UGAUGAUGAGAGGGUCCAAUGAUUUGAUGAUUAUCGCUGGAAAAACUGAUAAUCAGAAAGCUUAAAAU
rnacentral:snoRNA from 2 species